rnacentral:rRNA from 1 species
UACGAAGGGGACUAGCGUUGUUCGGAAUUACUGGGCGUAAAGCGCACGUAGGCGGAUUUGUAAGUCAGGGGUGAAAUCCCGGGGCUCAACCUCGGAACUGCCUUCGAUACUGCGGGUCUCGAGUCCGGGAGAGGUGAGUGGAAUUCCUAGUGUAGAGGUGAAAUUCGUAGAUAUCUGGAGGAACACCGGUGGCGAAGGCGGCAUCCUGGACCGGCAUUGACGCUGAGGCGCGAAAGCCAGGGGAGCAAACGGG